rnacentral:rRNA from 1 species
AUACGGAGGGUGCAAGCGUUACUCGGAAUCACUGGGCGUAAAGCGCGCGCAGGCGGCUAUUUAAGUUGGAUGUGAAAGCCUACGGCUCAACCGUAGAACUGCAUCCAAAACUAUUUAGCUAGAGUGUGGGAGAGGAAGAUGGAAUUAGUUGUUUAGGGGUAAAAUCCGUAGAGAUAACUAGGAAUACCAAAAGCGAAGGCAAUCUUCUGGAACACUACUGACGCUGAGGCGUGAAAGCGUGGGGAGCAAACAGGAUUAGAUACCCUAGUAGUCC